rnacentral:rRNA from 1 species
GACGAACGCUGGCGGCGUGCUUAACACAUGCAAGUCGAGCGGUAAGGCCCUUCGGGGUACACGAGCGGCGAACGGGUGAGUAACACGUGAGUAAUCUGCCCAUCACUUCGGGAUAACUCCGGGAAACCGGUGCUAAUACCGAAUAUGACCACUUCAGGCAUCUGAUGAUGGUGGAAAGUUCCGGCGGUGAUGGAUGAGCUCGCGGCCUAUCAGCUUGUUGGUGGGGUAGUGGCCUACCAAGGCUUCGACGGGUAGCCGGCCUGAGAGGGUGACCGGCCACACUGGGACUGAGACACGGCCCAGACUCCUACGGGAGGCAGCAGUGGGGAAUAUUGGACAAUGGGCGAAAGCCUGAUCCAGCAACGCCGCGUGAGGGAUGACGGCCUUCGGGUUGUAAACCUCUUUCAGCAGGGACGAAGCGCAAGUGACGGUACCUGCAGAAGAAGCACCGGCCAACUACGU